rnacentral:rRNA from 1 species
UACGUAGGGUGCAAGCGUUGUCCGGAAUUAUUGGGCGUAAAGAGCUCGUAGGCGGUUCGUCACGUCGGCUGUGAAAACCUGAGGCUCAACCUCAGGCCUGCAGUCGAUACGGGCGGACUUGAGUACUGCAGGGGAGACUGGAAUUCCCGGUGUAGCGGUGAAAUGCGCAGAUAUCAGGAGGAACACCGGUGGCGAAGGCGGGUCUCUGGGCAGUAACUGACGCUGAGGAGCGAAAGCGUGGGGAGCGAACAGG